GACGAACGCUGGCGGCGUGCUUAACACAUGCAAGUCGAGCGAUGAAGUUCCUUCGGGAAACGGAUUAGCGGCGGACGGGUGAGUAACACGUGGGUAACCUGCCUCAUAGAGGGGAAUAGCCUUUCGAAAGGAAGAUUAAUACCGCAUAAGAUUGUAAUGCCGCAUGGCAUAGCAAUUAAAGGAGCAAUCCGCUAUGAGAUGGACCCGCGUCGCAUUAGCUAGUUGGUGAGGUAACGGCUCACCAAGGCGACGAUGCGUAGCCGACCUGAGAGGGUGAUCGGCCACAUUGGGACUGAGACACGGCCCAGACUCCUACGGGAGGCAGCAGUGGGGAAUAUUGCACAAUGGGGGAAACCCUGAUGCAGCAACGCCGCGUGAGUGAUGACGGUCUUCGGAUUGUAAAGCUCUGUCUUUAGGGACGAUAAUGACGGUACCUAAGGAGGAAGCCACGGCUAACUACGUG
rnacentral:rRNA from 1 species